CACGUAGGGUGCGAGCGUUGUCCGGAAUUAUUGGGCGUAAAGAGCUCGUAGGCGGUGUGUCGCGUCGGCCGUGAAAACCUGCAGCUUAACUGUGGGCUUGCGGUCGAUACGGGCAUCACUGGAGUUCGGCAGGGGAGACUGGAAUUCCUGGUGUAGCGGUGAAAUGCGCAGAUAUCAGGAAGAACACCAAUGGCGAAGGCAGCUCUCUGGGACGGUACUGACGCUGAGACGCGAAAAGCGUGGGGAGCGAACAGG
rnacentral:rRNA from 1 species